UCGGACAUGGUGUAUGGUACACGGCCUCCCCACAUAGAAGGGGACUGACCAGAUUGUCGGAGGCAAACCGGGGUUCGACUCCCCGUGUCCGAA